GCGGUGUUUGGGGGAGCGGGGUUCAGAAAUGUGCGAUUUUUGCCUGUAGGGUUUUUUUUUUUUUUUAAAACUUGUAUGUUUUACUGCUGGCUACAGCGCUGCUUCGGUGCGUUCCUGAUCUCUGUGCCCCGUGUUCUCUGCUCCCAUCCCUCCUUCCCUCCUCUGCUUUGUCCUGUCAGUUCUCUGCACCUCCAGGCAAAGUGAGGCGCUGUUUAUUCAUUUUUAACCCGCAGUGAUGAUUUACAGUUGAAGUGGGCGCGGUGUCUGAGCCCUGGAAGUGAUCUGUGUGGGGGGGGUUUAUGGGGUGGAAUGCGUUGAUGGGAAGGAACCCGUAGAGCAGGACCCAAAGGCUGCGGGAGCUGGGUGACCCACCGGCUUACAGAUCGUAUCCUGAGCCCCAGAGAGCGGCGUGGGGCCGGAGAUGGCAGCCUUAUUCCUUCCCAUUAAAGAAGGUGCUACGUGGAGCUGAGCAGCGCAGCACCCAGCGAUGCGGUCCUGGCACUGAGGAUAGGAAAGGAGCAGCACUCAUAGGAGGACAUUCAGCCUUUAUUGGCAGGCAGGAAUGGGACGCAGCUGUGUUGACAGGAUGCUGGUCCUCCAGUGGCAGCUGUCUGCAGAUGCACGGGCUGUGCCUGCUGCCAGCAGUGGAGGUGAUGCUCCUCGCGGAUGGCUGGGCAGCCCCACGUGAGUUAUGGGCUCAGAUUGGCACCCACUUUUCCAGCCCGUGUUUUGGAGUUGGGAUUUUCCACCUCUGCCAGCAGUGCAUCAUUGUCAGAGGUGCGGCUCUCACUGGGGAGUUGUGCCCAGCUCUGGUGCCUUCCCAGCGCUCUGACUGCCACCAGCCGCCUGCCCCUCUUUUUUUUAGGUCACUUUUGGGAUGUUUUGCAUCACGGCUUUCCUACGGCUUCCCAUGGCACUGCAUCCAACCCCAAACGCACCCACAAUGACAGAGCUGCUGUUUGCUCUCCCAGAAAACAAUCUUGGGGGG